rnacentral:rRNA from 1 species
GUGGGGAAUAUUGGGCAAUGGGCGCAAGCCUGAUCCAGCCAUGCCGCGUGCAGGAAGACGCAUCUAUGGUGUGUAAACUGCUUUUGUACGGGAAGAAACACUCCCUCGUGAGGGAGCUUGACGGUACCGUAAGAAUAAGGAUCGGCUAACUCCGUGCCAGCAGCCGCGGUAAUACGGAGGAUCCAAGCGUUAUCCGGAAUCAUUGGGUUUAAAGGGUCCGUAGGCGGUUUAAUAAGUCAGUGGUGAAAGCCCAUCGCUCAACGAUGGAACGGCCAUUGAUACUGUUAGACUUGAAUUACAAGGAAGUAACUAGAAUAUGUAGUGUAGCGGUGAAAUGCUUAGAUAUUACAUGGAAUACCAAUUGCGAAGGCAGGUUACUACUUGUGGAUUGACGCUGAUGGACGAAAGCGUGGGGAGCGAACAGGAUUAGAAACCCUUGUAGUCC